rnacentral:lncRNA from 1 species
GGGAGUUUGAAGAGGCGUGAAGGGCCCCCCUCUUCCUCCUUCCCCCUCCCUUCUUUUCACCCUCCCUCCCUCCCCCCAACCCGUUCCUUCUUUUUCUCUCCUAUUCUCCAUCCUCCCCAUCCCUCCCUGAAGCAGCCUGUCUUGCCAUUGACCUCUGGAGGAGUCUUGGCCUCUGUCCAAGUCUCUGCUGGGCCAUCCUAGUGCUAUGCUGCCAUCCUGGAUGGGCAGAACCAGUCCUUCCAAUCCUGUCUGCAGCGAUGCCCAGGUUACCUUGAUUGUUUUUUCAGUGUGCCGGACCACGGGAGUCUGCUGGAAGAGAUGCCACCGGACACAGACUGCAACAUCAAGAGAGGAAGUCUUGUAAGGAAGGUAGAAGGCCAAGAUUGCAGAACUCUGCUGUUUGACAAGGGGGAGUGAUGUGAGCAGGAUCACAGGCUACUGGGAGCCAG